UGCAGUCGAACGGCAGCACAGGAGAGCUUGCUCUCUGGGUGGCGAGUGGCGGACGGGUGAGGAAUACAUCGGAAUCUACUUUUUCGUGGGGGAUAACGUAGGGAAACUUACGCUAAUACCGCAUACGACCUACGGGUGAAAGCAGGGGAUCUUCGGACCUUGCGCGAUUGAAUGAGCCGAUGUCGGAUUAGCUAGUUGGCGGGGUAAAGGCCCACCAAGGCGACGAUCCGUAGCUGGUCUGAGAGGAUGAUCAGCCACACUGGAACUGAGACACGGUCCAGACUCCUACGGGAGGCAGCAGUGGGGAAUAUUGGACAAUGGGCGCAAGCCUGAUCCAGCCAUACCGCGUGGGUGAAGAAGGCCUUCGGGUUGUAAAGCCCUUUUGUUGGGAAAGAAAUCCAGCUGGCUAAUACCCGGUUGGGAUGACGGUACCCAAAGAAUAAGCACCGGCUAACUUCGUGCCAGCAGCCGCGGUAAUACGAAGGGUGCAAGCGUUACUCGGAAUUACUGGGCGUAAAGCGUGCGUAGGUGGUCGUUUAAGUCCGUUGUGAAAGCCCUGGGCUCAACCUGGGAACUGCAGUGGAUACUGGGCGACUAGAGUGUGGUAGAGGGUAGCGGAAUUCCUGGUGUAGCAGUGAAAUGCGUAGAGAUCAGGAGGAACAUCCAUGGCGAAGGCAGCUACCUGGACCAACACUGACAC
rnacentral:rRNA from 1 species